UCUCUCACUCCUCUUCAUCGCCUCUAUUCCGAUCGGGCUCCCUUUCUUGCCCCUUCGCGUUCGCUAUCUGCUUCGAAACCCCAAUCUUUCCGGAUUCUCAUUCCUUUAUUUUCGGUGAUUCCAGGCUAGAUUCUUUAUUUCUAGUUGUUUCUUAUGUUCUUCUGUCCUGCGAGAAUGUCAUUGCUGUUCUUAUUGUGGGGCAUCGUCAAUGCUCUUCUUGUUCGGUUGACUCGGGAUUUUGCUUGUUCCGCCUGUUUCGCCGCCUAAGUGUCAAGAACUCUGUUUCCUCAUUCGUUACACUAUAAUUUAGGGUGUCUGUUUAGCUUGCCAUGGAGAUCAUGUUUUCUAAUCCAUAAAUACCUCUUCUUUACAUGUAUACAAGAAUCAUCAACAAUAUUAUGCUUCCGAAGACAACUUGCAUCUCCGGGGAGCUUUGGUCGGUUAAAUUUUAACUGGAUUGGGUCAACAAGUUGACCCGAAACCUCGUAUCUCGGGACUAAGAACCGAUCAAAGACCGUGUUCUUAACGAUUUUGAUCAGGGUUUACUGAAAGAGAAGUCUGUUUCAAAGACCGUUCUGCAGUAAAAAUCCCUCUUCUUCAUUUGUUGUGUUGUCAGAUCCGAGUGUUGGUACAUUCUGACCACGUGGAAGCAUUGCAGUUAAAGGCCACCGCAUGUCUCGUCCAAAAGAGACGCAACCUUUUCUUUUGUCGAAGAAAGGGGCGUGAGACUUCAGAUCUCGUGGGAGAUCAACCAGACGUGCUUACGAUGGCCGUGGAUACCCAUCAUGAGAUUUGCAGCCUUUAUGUCGCCAUUUUCGAGACGCCUGUAGUUUACGAGAGUUUAGACCGCAUUUAUACGAACAUCUGCUGGGAGUUACGGUAUCACCUUAUACUUCUCUUGCAUUUUCUCUUUACAUCUUUCUCUCUCUAAACUAAAUUCUGUAUCAAAUUAUAUCCACCGGUAGUCUAGACUUUUCCAUUUGAUACGUACUUGGGGGCUGAGAUAUUACGUAGACUUGGCUAUAACUCAUGCACAAUGCUCUCUUCUAAAUUUUAUUUGAACUACUUAUGAGGUUAAAUCAAGGAAAAGGGAUAAACUUUUUCGAGAGUGGGUUCAGGAAUGCUGUACUUUGUCCGAUUUCUUAUUUUAAUGAUGUUGGACAAAGUGGCGUGUAAUAAUGAAUCAAUUGGUUGGUGAGGUAGAAUUGAUGUAAAUAAAACCCAUGGCAUGGGUGUGGAACAGAGGAAACAUAAUGGUAGGGUGGGUGGGGUUGUGGACAUCAUCAAUGAUGGUAAAUCAUAAGACAAAUAAGGGAGGAAUUCUGCUGCUUGGUGCAGUUCUUCCAACAUCUUCUGCUUCCCUUUUCCCUUGUUCCCAUGGUAAAAGAAAGUGGGGUAUACAUUUUAAUUUUAAUAGCUAGGUAGUUUUAUAUUUAUGUAUCUCGUUUAUAAGCUUCUUGAUGAGAAAAGGUAAAGAAAAUUAGGUUGUGGGAGCUGAAAAUUGAAAGAGGGAGAAAGAAAGAAACCUUCUAGGGCCGUGAACGAUCAUCAUGUAGAGAGAAAAAGUUGCCUUUUUGCCUACCAAGAUAAGCUUUUAAUAUCGAAGCUCAAAAAGAGGGUAAGAGCAUCACAGCGAGUUCUUUAAUUCUGACAAAGAAAUUGACUUCGUCGAAAGAUAGAUCAGAGGAUGGAAUGCGAGUGGCCAUCGCUAAUACUUGUGCUAUGCAUUAAAUAUCAAUUGUCCAUAUACUCAGAAGUCUUUGCUUUUAGUCUUUCUCCAUGGCACAGACUGCACUAGCUCUUCGAGUAGUACUUUUGCUGGUCCUGGGUUUGUGCCUGUUGCACAGACCACAUUUUAUUUGUAGUUACAGCUCUCUGACAAAUUUAAUCUGUCCGCCAAUUAGCAGCUGAGACUGGGCCUAAGAGGCGGAAGCCACACCUGCACCUACAUUGUCAUUCAAGUGGUUGUAACAAGUGUUCUUUAAUCUACUCUAAUUCCUCCAAGUGGUCAUUGAACCUACGUGACACCACAGAAAAUGUUGAAGAACAAGACAUGGCCUUUGUUCCUGUUUAAGCGAGCGAGAGUUGGCGCUACAACCGAGGGAAGAAGACAGAUUUGUAGGUGCGGAAGGCCGGAAAGGUUUGUGCUUAAACACUUUCCUUUUAGAUAGGAUGAUUUGAGAUGAAAGAAUUGUGGGACACGAUUGAAACUUUACUUCUCCACUUUGUCUCUCAAGGACAAUCCCUGCCUCACCCUCAUUAGUCCUCUCUUUUCCUCACCCACUCCCUCUCUUAUAUGGAACACAGAAUAUCUCCCUCGUUUGUUCAGAAGGAUCAUAAGUUUGGAGGCACUUGUAGCUCAUUUAUUCUGCAGUUGUUGUCAUGUGGGUUUAUCAAAGUGUUGCUUGCAGAGUUUAUUGGCAUUCUGUCCAUCUCCAAGUCAUCCAUCUCUCCUGAACAUGGAGAAGCUUAUAGAUGGAGGUGGGCAUCCUGCCAACAGAUCUCUGCUGGCUUCUCUUUGUGAAACCCUUGUGACAGACCGGCCUCGAUUUCUAGUAGCCCGGGGAUUCAUUCUCUCAUAAAAUAGAGAAAACAGGCACUUACUUAUAUGUUGAGAAUAUGAGAAAAAGGUAAAACAUGCAGCUCCUUUUUUGUUUAUUCUUUUGAUAGGACAUAUGCAGCACUCGUACAACUUAUGUAUUAUAUGGGCUUCGUGGUGUCACCUCCUACGAUUCUUUUGUUAUCUUGAGUUCUUUUCUUCUUGGCUGCUAUCAUACGUUAUUAUUACCUGUUGAAAUUACGGAGAUCAUUUUCCUUUUUCUUUACUUUCUGAUACUGAUUUCAAUAAGAAGUAUGGAAUCCUUAUCCUUC